UUCACUGCAAGCGCAUGUGGCGGCUUCUUGAACUGCACUCUCGGAUGUGUACCGAGCCUGAUGAUUGCAAGGUUCCUCUCUGUAGGCAAUUUAGAGUGAAGAUUCGGCAUCAAAGCAAGAAAGAUGACUCCAAGUGGAAAAUGUUGGUCAACAAAGUAAUUGCGGCUAAGAAUACAUUGGGACCAUUCUCAGCUCGGUGCUCAGGUUUAUUGUGAUAUCUUUGUUUCUUUAAAAACCAUGCUUGUCCACAAGCUUGAUUCAUCCCAAUUCAAAAAGAAUAAAUAAAUUACUGGGAACUUAUAGUUCUUUUUUAUAUUAUAAGUCUUUACAGUGACCUGUA